AAUCAAGUCAAAUGAAAUCAUUUCAAAAAUAGACAAAUCUCAUUCAAUUUUUUUGACCUAAUUUUUAUCUAUAAAUAACAUAAGUUUUUACACCUUUUAUCAUUGAUAGUUGAUCAAAUUCAGUAUCCUAAAGUUGUUGCUCUUCACACUGAAGAACAACAACACCAAAACCCUAAAAAACCCUCAAUCAUCACUCUUUGUAAG
rnacentral:lncRNA from 1 species